rnacentral:rRNA from 1 species
GACGAACGCUGGCGGCGUGCUUAACACAUGCAAGUCGAACGGACAGGCCCUGCUCUUGUGGGUUUCUCGUGUGGCGAACGGGUGAGUAAAACGUGAGUAACAUGCCCUUGUCUUUGGGAUAACUUCAGGGAACUGCGGCUAAUAUCCGGUAGGAGCUCCUGCUCCGUGGUGGGGGUUGGAGAAUUUCGGCGGUUGGGGAUGUAUUCGCGGCUUAUCAGCUUGUUGGUGGAGUAGUGGCUUACCAAGGCUUUGACGGGUAGCCGGCCUGAGAGGGUGACCGGCCACAUUGGGACUGAGGUACGGCCCAGACUCCUACGGGAGGCAGCAGUGGGGAAUAUUGCACAAUGGGCGGCAGCCUGAUGCAGCAACGCCGCGUGCGGGAUGACGGCCUUCGGGUUGUAAACCGCUUUCGCCUGUGACGAAGCGUGAGUGACGGUAAUGGGUAAAGAAGCACCGGCUAACUACGUG